rnacentral:ncRNA from 1 species
CUAAGGGGUGCCAGCCCGUUUGGGCGACUGAGAUUAUACCCUCGAACCUGAUCCGGAUAAUGCCGGCGUAGGUAAGAUUUC